rnacentral:rRNA from 1 species
GAUGAACGCUGGCGGCGUGCCUAAUACAUGCAAGUCGAGCGAAUGGAUUAAGAGCUUGCUCUUAUGAAGUUAGCGGCGGACGGGUGUGUAACACGUGGGUAACCUGCCCAUAAGACUGGGAUAACUCCGGGAAACCGGGGCUAAUACCGGAUAACAUUUUGAACCGCAUGGUUCGAAAUUGACAGGCGGCUUCGGCUGUCACUUAUGGAUGGACCCGCGUCGCAUUAGCUAGUUGGUGAGGUAACGGCUCACCAAGGCAACGAUGCGUAGCCGACCUGAGAGGGUGAUCGGCCACACUGGGACUGAGACACGGCCCAGACUCCUACGGGAGGCAGCAGUAGGGAAUCUUCCGCAAUGGACGAAAGUCUGACGGAGCAACGCCGCGUGAGUGAUGAAGGCUUUCGGGUCGUAAAACUCUGUUGUUAGGGAAGAACAAGUGCUAGUUGAAUAAGCUGGCACCUUGACGGUACCUAACCAGGAAGCCACGGCUAACUACGUGCCAGCCGCCGCGGUAA